rnacentral:rRNA from 1 species
UUUUUUAAUUGAAAACUUGUAUGAAUGGUUGAAUGAGAUAAAAACUGUUUUAAUUAAAAUAAUUAGAAUUUUAUUUUUUAGUAAAAAAGCUAAAAUUUACUUAUAAGACGAGAAGACCCUAUAAAGUUUUAUAAUUAUAAAAAAAAUUAAUUAAUUUAAAAAUUUUUAAGUUUAUUUUAUUUAUUUAUUUUAUUGGGGAGAUAAUAAAAUUUAAAAAACUUUUAUUUUUUUUUACAUAGAUUUAUGAUUUUAUGAUCCUUAUUAAAGAUUAAAAAAACAAAUUACUUUAGGGAUAACAGCGUAAUUUUUUUUUUAAGUUCAUAUUUGUAAAAAAAUUUUG